rnacentral:lncRNA from 1 species
ACCUCUAUCCUCCUGGCCCUGCCUCUGGUGAAGGAGGGUCCCAGGUUGGGAAAGAAGCUAAGAUAUGGCCAGAGGAGGUGCUGUGGACUGAUUCGGAUUCCGCGAUUAGCUCAGGUUCCGAGCACGAGGAUUAGGUGCUCGGAUCCAUUUGUAAUCCUCUUUCCUUUGUAAUGGAUUAUCAUUAAUAAAAUAAUUCUCUUUUGAUUUCCCCGAGCACAAUUUAUUUGCACUUAUGCUUUAUGUAUGCUCUUAAUUUAAUAAUAUUGCGGAUUUUCCGAAUGAUUCCGAGCGGACUUUUCGGUCGAAAACUGGACUUCUUUUUCGAGCAAGUUUUCGACUUUACGAAUUUGCCGAGGAGCGUGGUGCUCUUAUUCGGUUGUUGCGGUCUUCCCCGUAUUUUUAGCAAAGAAAUAAGGGGAGUGGAUUCCGAGGAUCUUGCAUUUCCUUAUUUGUCGCAAUUUUCUCGGGAUGUGGUGUCUUGGAUUUCGCGAGAUUUGCGCGAGCAGACGGAUGUGAC